AUUGAACGCUGGCGGCAGGCUUAACACAUGCAAGUCGAGCGGAGAGAGGUAGCUUGCUACUGAUCUUAGCGGCGGACGGGUGAGUAAUGCUUAGGAAUCUGCCUAUUAGUGGGGGACAACAUUUCGAAAGGAAUGCUAAAACCGCAUACGUCCUACGGGAGAAAGCAGGGGAUCUUCGGACCUUGCGCUAAUAGAUGAGCCUAAGUCGGAUUAGUUAGUUGGUGGGGUAAAGGCCUACAAAGGCGACGAUCUGUAGCGGGUCUGAGAGGAUGAUCAGCCACACUGGGACUGGAACACGACCCAGACUCCUACGGGAGGCAGCAGUGGGGAAUAUUGGACAAUGGGCGCAAGCCUGAUCCAGCCAUGCCGCGUGUGUGAAGAAGGCCUUAUGGUUGUAAAGCACUUUAAGCGAGGAGGAGGCUACUUUAGAUAAUACCUAGAGAUAGUGGACGUUACUCGCAGAAUAAGCACCGGCUAACUCUGUGCCAGCAGCCGCGGUAACAC
rnacentral:rRNA from 1 species